rnacentral:rRNA from 1 species
GCAAGUCUGGUGCCAGCAGCCGCGGUAAUUCCAGCUCCAAUAGCGUAUAUUAAAGUUGUUGUGGUUAAAAAGCUCGUAGUUGAACCUUGGGCCUGGCUGGCCGGUCCGCCUCACCGCGUGUACUGGUCCGGCCGGGCCUUUCCCUCUGUGGAACCCCAUGCCCUUCACUGGGUGUGGCGGGGAAACAGGACUUUUACUGUGAAAAAAUUGGAGUGCUCCAGGCAGGCCUAUGCUCGAAUACAUUAGCAUGGAAUAAUAGAAUAGGACGUGUGGUUCUAUUUUGUUGGUUUCUAGGACCGCCGUAAUGAUUAAUAGGGAUAGUCGGGGACAUCAGUAUUCAAUUGUCAGAGGUGAAAUUCUUGGAUUUAUUGAAGACUAACUACUGCGAAAGCAUUUGCCAA